UACGGGGGGGGCAAGCGUUGUUCGGAAUUACUGGGCGUAAAGGGCUCGUAGGCGGCCAACUAAGUCGGAUGUGAAAUCCCCAGGCUUAACCUGGGAACUGCAUCCGAUACUGGAUGGCUUGAAUCCGGGAGAGGGAUGCGGAAUUCCAGGUGUAGCGGUGAAAUGCGUAGAUAUCGGGAGGAACACCUGUGGCGAAAGCGGCUCACUGGACCACAACUGACGCUGAGGCGCGAAAGCGUGGGGAGCAAACGGG
rnacentral:rRNA from 1 species